rnacentral:rRNA from 1 species
AAACAUGGCUCCAUGAAUUUCAAUAAUAUGGAGUCGGACCUGCCCAGUGAAUUUUUCAACGGCCGCGGUACUCUGACCGUGCAAAGGUAGCAUAAUCAUUUGCCUUAUAAUUGAAGGCUAGUAUGAAUGGUUUGACAAGAAUGAAGCUGUCUCUUUAUAAUUUAAUAGAAUUUUAUUUUUGGGUGAAGAAGCCUAAAUAAGAUUAAAAGACAAGAAGACCCUAUCGAGCUUGAAAGAAGUUAAUAGAAUCAGUUAGUUAAUAUUCAUAAAAAAUUAUCUAUUAGAUAUUUUAGUUGGGGCGACUAAGGAACAUAAAAAGCUUCCUUUAUAAAAUAAUUUAAAUCGGACUAGAAUUGAUCCAAAAUAUUUUGAUUAAAGGAAUUAGUUACCGUAGGGAUAACAGCAUUAUCUUUUUUAAGAGCUCAUAUCGAAAAAAAGGUUUGUGACCUCGAUGUUGGACCAGAAUAUCCUAAAGGUGCAGCAGUCUUUAAGGGUUGGUCUGUUCGACCAUUAAAAUUCUACGUGA